AGUGCGAGGGCAUAUAGUCCUCGCUUUUCACCACCGUAAGGUGGUGGUGGAAUAAGUGCUGGCCAAGACCGGUGCCAGCCGCCGCGGUAAUACCGGCAGCACGAGUGAUGACCGUGAUUAUUGGGCAUAAAGUGUCCGAUGCUGGCCUCGCAGGUCUUUCGGGAAACCGGCUCGCAUACCGCGUACCGGUCUGGGGGGAAACUUGGUGGCUUGGGACCGGAAGACCAGAGGGGU
rnacentral:rRNA from 1 species